UCCAGGGUGUAAACGCUGCUCGCUUGAUGUUAGUCGGGCUCCGAGCCCAACUAGUGUCGGAGAGAAGUUGUUAAGCGAGCUGCCUGGGAAGUACGGUCGCAAGGCUGAAACUUAAAGGAAUUGGCGGGGGAGCACAGCAACGGGUGGAGCGUGCGGUUUAAUUGGAUUCAACGCCGGAAAUCUCACCGGAGGCGACGGUUAUAUGAAGGCCAGGCUGAUGACCUUGCCUGAUUUUCCGAGAAGUGGUGCAUGGCCGUCGUCAGUUCGUACCGUGAGGCGUUCUGUUAAGUCAGACAACGAACGAGACCCUCAUCUUUAGUUGCUACUGGUAAGUCCGCUUACUAGGCACACUAAAGAAACCGCUGGCGAUAAGUCAGAGGAAGGUGAGGGCAACGGUAGGUCAGUAUGCCCCGAAUCCUCCGGGCUACACGCGCGCUACAAAGGCUAGGACAAUGGGUUUCAACACCGAAAGGUGACGG
rnacentral:rRNA from 1 species